AGUGAACGCUGGCGGUAGGCCUAACACAUGCAAGUCGAACGGCAGCACAGGAGAGCUUGCUCUCUGGGUGGCGAGUGGCGGACGGGUGAGGAAUACAUCGGAAUCUACUCUGUCGUGGGGGAUAACGUAGGGAAACUUACGCUAAUACCGCAUACGACCUACGGGUGAAAGCAGGGGACCUUCGGGCCUUGCGCGAUUGAAUGAGCCGAUGUCGGAUUAGCCAGUUGGCGGGGUAAAGGCCCACCAAGGCGACGAUCCGUAGCUGGUCUGAGAGGAUGAUCAGCCACACUGGAACUGAGACACGGUCCAGACUCCUACGGGAGGCAGCAGUGGGGAAUCUUGGACAAUGGGCGCAAGCCUGAUCCGGCCAUACCGCGUGGGUGAAGAAGGCCUUCGGGUUGUAAAGCCCUUUUGUUGGGAAAGAAAUCCAGCUGGCUAAUACCCGGUUGGGAUGACGGUACCCAAAGAAUAAGCACCGGCUAACUUCGUGCCAGCCGCCGCCGUAA
rnacentral:rRNA from 1 species